rnacentral:lncRNA from 1 species
AGAACAGCAGUGACUAGCAGCUGCUGGAAUUACAGAAGGGAGACAAAAGCUUUCAACCCUCUACUGCACGUGAUAUUACUUUAUAGUAAUUUAUCUUAGUCCAGGUGCAGUGCCUCACACCUGUAAUCCCAGCACUUUGGAAGGCUGAGCUGGGAGGAUUGCUUGAGGCUGGCAGUUCAAGACUUCUUCCAUUUUAAGGGGCCUUGUGAUUACAGCUGGUCCAUCUGGAUAUUCUAAGAUAUUCUCCCUAUUUUAAGGAGAGAAAUCUGAAAUCUGAGGUGCAGUUGAUUUGAAUCCAGGAAAUCUAAGGAAAAAGUUCAAGCUCUUAAUCAUUUCAUACCCUUCUUGUUGCUAACUUAAACUUUUUUUUUAAAAAAGUUAAUCUUGUCUAUGAAGCAUGAAUCUAUAAUACUAGGGAAAAAACUGGCUAACUUGAAGAAAAAAUAAAUUGAAAUGAAAAGCAAUUAAUUCCUCUUAAUAUGAAUAAAGGAUGAUCUAAAUGCUUUUUGAGAAAUGAUUUCAAGUAAUGAAAUUUACAGGAAAAAAAAUCCUCUUUUCUGAAUAAGCAAUCAUGGUAUUAAUCCUAAGUUCUUUAAUCUUUAUAUUUACAUUUGUUCUUAAAGCUUGGUGUUUUCUACCAAAACCAUCUGUGUAUCUCUGUCUAUCUUCACGUGUUCUUUCUGUAUACAUUCAUGCAUGCGCACACACACAGAGAUUUCAUUAUUUAUUCAUAAAAUAGUUGAAAAUCACUGCUUUGGCCCUUUUAACUGUAUAUAAAUCUCUCAGUUCUCUAGUGCUUGGAAAGGAAGUAUUUAUUUUAUUUUAUUUUUAUUUUAUUUAUUUUGAGAUAGAGUCUCACUCUGUCGCCCAGGCUGGAGUGCAGUGGUGCAAUCCUGGCUCACUGCAGCCUUAAUCUCCAAGGCUCAAGCUGUCCUCCCACCUCAGCUUCCCUCGUAGCUGGGACCACAGGCAUGCCACCACACCCAGCUAAUUUUUGUGUUUUUUUGGAGAGAUGGGGUUUCCUCAUGUUGCCCACGGUGGUCUGGAACUCCUGGGUUCAAGUGACUGGCCCUACCUUGGCCUCCCAAAGUUCUAUGAUUAGAGGCGUGAGUCACCCUCCCUCGCCAGGAAGUAUGACAAACAGAAUGAGCCUGCAACCAGAGUCUUUGAUUCAAACCCUUGCCCACCAUUCACUGACUGUUUGAGCCUCAGUAUCUUUAUGUGGAACAUGAGGUCUAUAACAGAACUUAACAAACAGGAGAUAAUUAUUAAUGAGAUUAAAUGCAAUGAGGAAUGUCAGUGGUACCCUCUCUGUAGAGGAACUUAAGGAGUUGAGCCUCCAAGCUUCUUUCUUGAUAUGCUGAUGAAAGACAUAGCCUAGUUUAUGGUGGGUGCUGCUUAAAUUCCAGCCCUCUCUCUUUCAGUCAACAGGCUUGGACUCAAAAUAAGCCCCAUUCAGGCUGAUUUGCCUGCCUAUAUCAGUCACAAACUGCACCUCUUGCAAAAACAGCUUUCCCUCCAAUGUGUACUGGCCUUGAAGAAGACUGAGAUAUAGGGAAACAAAGAUCUUUAAAAUCAAGUUACUGAAAGGUCACUGAAAUAAUAUACAGUGAAAGAUGGAUGAUGCCAUCAUUGUAUAAAUAAAGUCAGUACAACCAUUAAAGAACUUACAAGUAUGGGUUUUUUCUUCUCUAUGGUUAUGAUCAUGGAUAGAAUAAUUUUGAUAUGACCAUGAUUAUAUUAUAUCUGGAUGGUUUAGAUGUCUUUCAGAAAAUUAAUAUUUAUUCUUUGGCAUUAUAUAAUUUCUUAAAUAAACAUGAAGAGAGAAAUGUUUUGAAUAACAAUUCUCUAGUCCUAAAUUUUCUAUACUUAGCAUGUAUUGUUUCUUUUUUAAUAACUUACAACAACUUUAUUUUAAAAUUAGUUUAGGCAAUGUUUUUUGAAAUGGCUUCUUUGAAGUCGCUUCUUGGAAUGAUUAUAGCCAUUGUGUAAAGCCAGCAAUAAAAGAAGGAUUUGAAAGUAGAGAGUAGAACAGUAGUUACCAAGGGCUGGAGGCAGGGGUAGAGGAGAUAUUGAUCAAAGGACACAAAAUUUCAUUUAGGAGGAAUAAGUUAAAGAGACGCACUGUCACAUGGUGACUACAGUUAAUAACAAUGUGUUGUGUUAUUGAAAAUCCAUGAGGGUAGAUUUUAAGUGUUCUGACCACAAAAAAAAGCAUGUGAGGUAACACAUACAUUAAUUAGCUCUAUGUAGCCAUUCUAUAAUGUAUACAUGUUUCAAAACAACAUGUACACAAUAAAUAUAUAUGAUUUUUUAUUUGCUAGUUAAGAAAAGCGUUUGACACUUCAAAAAAUAAAAUACUUUUGGCAUAUGAAGAGUCAUUUACAAUCACGCCCCAGACUUUGUUGUUAAUAUUAGCAGGGAUAGUCAUUGCUUAUAAGGUCUUCACAUGCUUAUAAAAGAAGUUUCACUAAAUCUAGUUAGCAUUGAGAAGUGUUGACAAGAAGAGUUGAAAAUAAACCUCAAGACAACUUUCUGAUUUAAAAUUCUAUUUCUUGGUGUGUGAAUGUUAUUUUUGAGGAAACAUACACUUUAUUGCAACAUAAUAAAUAAAUGAGAAAAUAAGACAAUGUUAUUUUACCCAAUAUAGCAGGGUGGUCUUUAAAUAAGUGCAUAAAUAGCCCAUGAGAUAGUUUGAAGCUUUCAGCUUUGUCACCCUGUUGGUCUAGUCAAAUGACUCACAUAUUAGCAAUUUGUUUGCAAAACAUCUUCUUCUUAUAGUUUCCAUUGGAUUACAUAAGAUUGUUUUAUCCUGAUAGAUAAUCUGGACUUUCUUCACCAAAAGAAGGUUAAUAUUCCUACAAAUUUUAAACCAAAACAUUAAAUUUUAUACUGAAAAUACAUCUUCCUUGAGGUCAAGACUGUAGGGGAAGGCAGAUUUUUGGUGUCCUUAUCCAAAUGAUAGCCUUGCAAACCAGGCUGUUUUCAUGAGAGGAUUUUCUUACUUUAUUUAAAUCUUCUCUGAGCGUAACAGGAAAUAAAUCUGGAGACUCCAGCUUCUGGAGCUUUUCCACAAAGAAGAUAAUCUUUCUGAUUUAAAGACACAAUAAACCCUUCUUUCUCCAUGUUCUUCAAAAUCCAUAGAGCUCAAAUAACCACUUCUUUUCAUUCGCUAUAGAACAGCAUUAUUUCCAAAAUUGCAUUUAAAUCAUCUACAUACAGAAGGUUAAAUUUGUUUAAAAAUGAAUAAUUACAUUCAUUUCUUUACAUUUGUACUCUGAAUAAUGUGGAAUUUAAACUAGGUGUGGUUACACUUUAGCUAUGAGACAUUGGGCCGGUCACUUAUUCUCUUCAGAGGAUUAAAAGGAUAAAAUAUUUUAAAAAAUAUCUAUCUAUCUAUCUAUCUAUCUAUCUAUCUAUCUAUCUAUAGAUAGAUACACACACACACACACACACACACACAUAGAGUUCUUAUACAAACCCUCAUUAAAUGUAAUCCAAGUUGUAGACCCACAGUACUGAUUUAGGUAGGCAAAAUAUCAAAUUAACAACAACAAAAAAAUACCAGACAUAAAAAAUGUGUCUCAUAUUCUGGACACAUCAUUAUUCUCUGAAAUAUCCACAGACCACUCUAAUCUGAGCACACCCUAGGUGGACCAGGAACACAAGUAAUGUGAAUGACUGCAAUAAUAAAAUGAGUAUGUUAAACUAUCAAUUACUUGGCUUUGAUUCUGUGCUUGAAUUAUAUUCAAUGAGCCUCUGCUGUGUGCCAGACAAUGUUCUGGGCAGCAGCGACACACUGGUGAACAGUCCUUGCCUAUAUGGAGCUUACAUUUUAGAAGGCAAAGACAGACCAAUAAAUAAGUCAGCAAACAAUUCGUCAAUAUAACUUCAAAUAAUAACAAAUACUUUGAAGAAAAUCAACUAGGGUCGUGCCUGAGGGCUUGGGAAUUAAAUGUACUUUAGUUUGGAAACCAGAGAAGUCAUGGCUGAGGGAUUUAUAUCUUCACUGACAACUGAAGACCCAGAAGAAACCAGCAAGGCAAAGGCUGGGAAUCAAUGUCUCCAGCUGUGUCCUUGAGGAAGCAGGAAAUGCAAACGGCUCUAAAGGAAGAAGGAGCUUACUUAUUUGCCAAACAGAAAGAAAGUUGAUGAGAGCAAUGAAACCGCAAAUUAAUUAAGAUCAAGAAAACACUAACACCAAAACUCAAAGGAUGUUGGAAGCUUGAAAGAAGACCUCAAAGACAAUAUUUGGGCAUAUUUUAAGAGCAUCAUCAAUACUCUGUAUGGCACCGAGGAUGACUUAUGGAAAAACAGAGUUAUCAAUGACUUUUUGUUGGAAAUUAUCCAAAAGAGUAAGAUUCUGCAAAGAAGUUUGUGAAUUUAUUUACCAGUUUAUUUUUAUUUCUAUUUUCAUUUUACGAUUGCCUGAGAGUGAUAUUUGAAAAGUGUUAUAUUCAUAUAUGUCUAAAUUUUUCAACAAGUAUCAAAUAAAGAUUCUAAGUUAUAAGAAAGCAUUGUGUCAGUUUAAUUGUAUGAUUUCUUAAAAUUAGCUCCACAUGAAUGAACGGUACAUCUAAAAUUGAUAAUUUGAUAAUUGUCUCAGAUUUGAGGAAAUACUAUCCUCCAUUAUAGACAAAGGCUAGAAGGACCUGGGAAUGGGGAGGGGGACUAUGUAACAGACAAAUAUUCCAAUCUCAGAUGAUUAUUCUUCCACUCUCCUUUUUUCUCUGAGUCUAAGCUCAUCUUUUACUGUCCCUCUGGACUUUAACAGGCACUCUGCUAUUAAUGCUUAAAUGGAGCAUCUACUUAAUUAGAUUACAGCAUUUACAGGACAUAAACCUUUGGGUACAUGUCAAAGACCCUGGACUUUAGGCCACAACCAAUGUAAGUGGAUGAUUUCCCAAUGAUAGCAUAUGCCUAGAAAGGUUUGGCUUUAUUUUCCGUGAGUUCUUAUCUAAUGCAAAAUAAACUUUGAAUUUAUAUUUCUUGAGUUUUCCAGCACACAAUGUUUUGCUUUUAUAACUUCUAUUAUUAAAAGAAGAAUAUUAUACUAUUUGUAAAUGUUUUUGAUGUGCAAAAUUUUAUACCUAUAGGUUGCAAAAUCUGUGCAUUGCACUAGAAAUUUUGCUGAGUUUUCAGCUCUUAGCCACAGCAUUUAAGUAGUACAAUUCAUUUCAUGUUUAACUUUAUUUAAAUAUCAUAGUGAGUAGACCAUUGGUUUUCAGAUUAUUUUAAAUUUCUUUGUAUAAUCUGAGUUGAUUUCCCAUUGUGUCUGCCAAAGUACUCUUCUUUCUUCUUGAGGACAGUGCACAUUUAGAAAUUACCUUUUUGAAACAUCUUGAAAACUGACUCUUCAAAAAUGACUUUCAAUACUUAAGAACAUGACAAAAAUAUAUUUAUAACAUAACUUUUAGUUACAUGUUAUGCCGUAUAUAAAACUAUGUACUUGUGAAUGUUCAAUACCUAUCCCCCUCCCCCCAAAACAGCAACUUGUUUUGUUGCAUUUGCUGAUUUAUAUAGUAUAAAUACUCCCACAUGUCCAGUUUCAAAGUACCAACUUGAUGUCACUGGACAUACAGUUAGGAAGGGUAUCAUUAUAAAGUAUUUUUACAGUAAAGAAGCAAUAAAUGUAAGCAACUACAAAAGCACACAUAAUAGUGAAAUGCAUUAAAAUAAUUGGGAAAUACUAAGUUUUGAGUAUUACUUCGUUUGCUUAUUUUGUAAUUUAUUUAAUUGUAAGUUUAUAUAAUCCAAUUUUUGGCAAUGGCUGUAUUUAACAACUGGUUUCCAAAUUUACAAAUGUACUCUUUUAAGCCUACAUGAACUGGGUGUAGUUCAGCACUCCUGUAUAUAUGAUAUUUGAUAUUGCCUAUUAUAACACAGGUUAAAAAUAGUGAAGCUUAAACUCAUUUGAGACUUCCUCCCUCCCUCUUUUCCUUCCUUCCUUCCUUUCCUUUCCCUCCUUCCUUCCUUCCUUCCCUCCAUCCUUAAGUUCUUACAGAUUUGCUAGACAUGUCAAAAUGAGUAGAAAUCAGUAUGAACAAAUUAAAUUAUAAAGUUACCUAUUUAUGCUAUUGAUAUGGGGACAGACAGAAAUAAGAAGGUUAUACUUUUCCAGGAUUCUAUAAUAUAUAUUUUCUUUAUAUGUCAGGAUAUAUGUACGUAUCCAGUUAUAUAUCUUGAUACAGUUAUUUUUGUUUCUAUGAAACCAUGUUGAAUGCUAUGAAAAGCCUUGAUAAUGGUAAGUUACUAAAAAAGGCUCUCUAGGUAUGAGCAAGAAGGCGAAAGACUGAGAUAAAAAAUACCAGCUGUUAGUUUCUGUAUUCUGAUUGCUUUGCUAGUAUCUUUAUAUUCUUGGACCACUUUAAAGAAAUAAAACCCAACAUUUUAAAUAAUGAAUUUCUGAGG